CUCUAGAGGCUGAGCUGGGAAAGGCGGCAGGCGUCGGCCUGGGGGCUGGUGUUGCGAGCGGAAGUGGCCCGACAGAGUUGGGAGCGAGUUGCGAAAGAGUCCGAUACAACUUAGCGAAUAAACAAACAAUCCCUGGACACGCCACCAUUUUCUAACUCAGUGACUAUUCUUCAGAUUUGUCACUUCUUAGCGGAGCCACUUUCGUUAUUCUCUGCGGUAUCAAUUUUUAAAAUUUCUCAUUGGGAGAACUGGGCGUUUUUUUGAAACGCUGAGAAAGAGGUAGACACUUGGAAGGGCAAGUGAGGAGCUCCGAGCGAUCAAGCCUCGUCUCUGGCCCCAGAUUGAAUUCUUCUCCGGAGGCCAAGGAUCCUGGCGUCUGCGUCAUUCAGCAACAAACUUUGAUCGUGGGGGCUCGUCUGGGAUUCUUCAGGACAAGUUAGGAAGGACUGAUGCUGAAGCUGAAACUCCAAUACUUUGGCCACCUGAUGUGAAGAGCCCACUCAUUGGAAAAGACCCUGAUGCUGGGAAAGAUUGAGGACAGGAGGAGAAGUGGGCAACAGAGGAUGAGAUGGUUGGAUGGCAUCACUGACUCAAUGGACAUGAGUUUCAGCAAACUCCAGAAGAUAGUGAAAGACAGGGAAGCCUGGCAUGCUGCAGUCCAUGGAGUCUCAGAGAGUCAAACAAGACUGAACGACUGAACAACAACAAAGGAGCUGAGGCUCCUGAUUUGAAGGCAAAUUUCUCUGAUUCCGACACGAC
ensembl:lncRNA